ACCCAGCUGACGAGUCCCAAAUGGGACGAAAGGCACCUCCUGGAU
rnacentral:hammerhead_ribozyme from 1 species